AAUAGCCAAAGAUCACACCGGGGUUAAGAGUCGGAUUAGCAAUAAUACGAACAUCGCCACCACCAGGUGCCCAGGUAUCGUAUACACCGCCGAAGAACAUCGCUUUGAAAACAAGAAGCAAUGCACCACAACCAAGAAGAAUAAGGUGAUAACCAAUGAUGUUAGUCAUUUGGUUCUUGUCUUUCCA
rnacentral:antisense_RNA from 1 species